rnacentral:rRNA from 1 species
UACGGAGGGUGCAAGCGUUAAUCGGAAUUACUGGGCGUAAAGCGCACGCAGGUGGCUGAGUCAGUCGAUUGUGAAAGCCCUGGGCUUAACCUGGGAAUUGCAGUCGAUACUACUCAGCUAGAGUAUGGGAGAGGGCAGUGGAAUUCCCGGUGUAGCGGUGAAAUGCGUAGAUAUCGGGAGGAACAUCAGUGGCGAAGGCAGCGCCCUGGACGACACCUGACGCUCAGGCACGAAAGCUGGGGGAACAAACAGG